GACUAAAUCUAUAGAGUUCUAUCGUUUAAAGACGUCUUGUCAAUAGUUCUGAUAAUUAAAUUAAUUAAAAAAAUUUUUUUGUUACAAAAUAUACGUAUAUAUGCUAUUACUAUCAAAGACAUUUCUUAGAUAUUUGGGUAAUAGAAAUCUAAAUUUCCGUCCAACAAAGUUAAAUAAUAACAUAACAGAAAUAUAAAUUUAUUAUAUUAACCGUAUCAUUAUGUACUCUUUAUUCUUUAGAUUAUAUAUAUAUCUUAAAAAAGUAUUUAAUGAUUAUAUACUAAUUCUGAAGUAAAAAUCACUAAAGGAUAGUGAAUGCUUACUAAUUAACAUGCUACAUUUUCAGUGGUAUAUUUAUAGCUGUAUUAAUUAGUAAGUAUUUACUGUCUUUUAGUAAUUUUUACUUCAAAAUAAAUGUAUAAUUAUUAAAAAAAUAAUAUAUUUAUUUACUUAUUGUACCUAAAAGUUAGUGAAAUUUAGAAACUGCAGACUUACUACCAGUAUCAGAAAAUAUUUUAUUGAUACAUUCAGAAUUUGAAAUUUUUUAUCAAUUACUGAAUACUUUGUUGAAGAAAUAAGGGAUAUAAAAUUUGAAUUGUUUGAUUUUAAUAUAAAUUUAAUUAAAAGAUUUUAUUUUUAAUCUAUAUUUUUAAUAAGGUAAUAUUAAGUGUUUGGUUUAUAAUAUGUUUUAACUCAUAAUGUUGAUUUUUAUUCAAACGUAUAUCAGUAAAUUAGAAAAUAAUAGUCACAUUCCUGUACUUCUAUUUAUCCAUAUCGUUUACAUGUAAUAUUUCGUUUAAAUACGUGCUUUGUUGAAUCACGAUAAGUGGCAAGUUUUAGUUAAUUGUCGGGAUUAUUUCAGUCUCAAUUAGAAUUGAGUAUUAUUUAUAAAAAGUAAUACAAACAUUGAUUAUAAUAAUCAUUACAAAUGUGCAAAUAUGUUUAUAUAAGAAAUUCGACAUUAUUAUUACUUAAUUCCUAAAUGAUUAAUGGAUGCAUUAGAAUCUAAUCAUUAAAAAUUUAUGGGAUAAUUUAUUAAUAACGUUCAAAUUUUCACGCUGUUACGUUUUUAAUAUUAAGUUUUGACUUCUGUAAAUCAGAACUACAUCCGUUUUAAUCGAAGAUGUACAAGAAUAAAAUAUUUUCUGUUCUGAAAAGAAUAUCUACAUAUUUUUGCUUUUAUCUCGAGAUUAUUGAUAUUGUGUUACUUUUCUUUUGUGCGGGUGUGAAUAUGGUCUAGUCUUCUUUUAAGAAGUUGACAGAAAGUUAUACGCUGUAAUACGAAAUCUGAAGAGUAAUGAGACUUUUGAAAUAGUACAACAUGAUCUAUAUGUCCUAAUAAGAAGCAUGCAGUUUUUAAACAUUGAUAACUUUCAACUGGUAUUGUAAAAACGAAACAUUUAAUUACCGAUAAUUUUGUGAGUUUACGUUUCAUCCCCAUCGUAUGGUUACCGCGCCCGGCGAAGAUGGGCACGGUAAAAGCGAAAGAAGCGACGCAUCGUCGCGAUGAUAAAAAUCCCUGCUCGACUGUAAAAUUUUACGAUCUCGAGAAAUAAAGAUAGUAUCGUGAAGCUCCGAAAAGCGGGACCCCCGUUAUCGCUUUCUAGGAGGGGGAAAGAGAGAAAGCGCCGGGGAGGAACGUCCGAGAACGAUAAGCGUGGGCACGAAGAAGGGCGUUGGCGGCUUCGACAAAUAAAAUCUGAACAACCUGCUGCUUCGUUGUUUAUCGAAGGAUACCCGCGGCAUUAACGGUGAAGAGACUGGGCAAGGGGCAGAGAAGCGGAGGGAAGAUUACGGGCGCAAGACUAAAUACGCCGCGAUAACGCAACGACUCCCUGAUGAUGUUAGCGAUCUUCCCUCCUGCAUUUUUUUUUUCAUUUUUUAUGAGUAACUCUUUCCUCGUUGAUAGAUUUAUGCUGCGGCCUUGUUUCAGACGGAAUCGUGUAUUUAAGCUUUAGGUCUCUGACGAGAGAAUAUUUAUAGUAGUUCUUAUGGAUAUCCUGUAGCACACAAUUUCAUUUUGUUACACAUUUGUACGGUGAUACACGCACCGAAGAAAUUGUACUCUUAGUUUAAGAAUUUUUUCUUUACUUUAUAUAAUAUCGUCUUAUAAAAUAGACAUCUCAUAAGGAUUUUUUUUAACUUUCGAAAGAAUUCUUACAAAUGAUAAAUUAAUAGUAGACUUUUUCAAUUUUUAUAAAAAUAUAUAAGAUAAGAUUUUGUAGAAAUAGAAUUUACUUUAGGAGUGACAAAAGUAAAAGAAAAUAUGACUUUAAAAUUC
rnacentral:lncRNA from 1 species